AUCGAAAUAUAAAAGAUUAGUUAAUUAAUAACGAUUAAACGAUCACAAUUUCCCGCUUUUUUAAUUUCGAUCGUUUUAGAUGUCGCUAAAAUCGUUACGCGUAUGAUGUAUAUUCGUGACGUCUUAUUUAAUCGACGGACGACGAGAUAUUCAGUUCCUUAUUUCGAUAAAGAUAGACAAAAAAAAAAAGAAAGCUGUCUUAAGAGAAACGAUUUUAUUUCUUAUUUGUCGAAGAGAACGCGUAGUACGAUCCCGAGAAAGGAAUCAAAACAAAACGAAACAAAACAAAAAGGAUGAAAAAAAAUUCGGAGAGAAAAAGAAAAGAGAAAAUUCUACAGCUCAAAACGAACGUAAUAUUCGCUUUCGUGAAAGUGGCCCUUCCUCGUACAAAGGGCCUUGGUGGUCCCACCAAAUCGUUAUCCUUCGUUGUCGAGUAGCGUCGUGAUUGGUUCGCGUGGGGGCAAAAUGCAUCGACGAAAAAAGAAAAGGAUCGUUGGGCUUGAAGCCCGAAGGCUUCGUAAUUUUGCGAUCGUCCAUCGAAAAUUUGCCGUCGAGGAAAGUACCAGCAUGAAGAGGAGGAGAAGAAAAAAGAAGAGAGAAUGGGGAGGUUCGUGUUCAAGAAGAAACAGCCAUAUUGUGUUUCGAUCGUCGUUAUCGAUACGUAAAUUUGAUGGAAAGUUCUAAUUGGUUGGAAAAAUGAAGAGGAAAUGAUCGAAAGAUAGAAAGAAAUGGAAAGAGUUACACCGUUCUUCGUUCGGUGGGGGGUAAAGUGUAAUGUG